UACGUAGGGUGCAAGCGUUAAUCGGAAUUACUGGGCGUAAAGCGUGCGCAGGCGGCUUUGCAAGACAGAUGUGAAAUCCCCGGGCUUAACCUGGGAACUGCAUUUGUGACUGCAUGGCUGGAGUGCGGCAGAGGGGGAUGGAAUUCCGCGUGUAGCAGUGAAAUGCGUAGAUAUGCGGAGGAACACCGAUGGCGAAGGCAAUCCCCUGGGCCUGCACUGACGCUCAUGCAUGAAAGCGUGGGGAGCAAACAGG
rnacentral:rRNA from 1 species